rnacentral:lncRNA from 1 species
GACGAAGUCCGGAAGAAGUUCAGAGUAGAGAUCCAGUGGAACCUAUCCGUCGUAGAAGUUCAUCUGUGGUCCAUCCACUGUAGAAGUUCGAACGGAGUCCGGUUCUUGUAGGAGCUCGGAUGAAAUUUGAAUGGCGAUCAACCACCGUAGAAACUUGGAUGGAGUCUGAUUACUGUAGAGGUCCUGCUAUCGGAGAAGCUCGGAAAGCAUUUGGAGCAG